CUCGACUCCAGCCUCUCCGACGCAGGCGGAUUUUUGCACCAACACAAGCCAAAAAGUUUAGACAACUACCAACAAUGAUUAUGUAUCCUCGACCAUGAGCCAGGUACAAUAAUAAUUAUGGGAUAUUCGAACAUAAUCUGAACCUCGAUGACUGGAUUGAAGGAUUGACCCCUCGGAGAUAUGUUGGCUUAGGCUAAGACCUUCAAAAUUUUGUUCGGUAAGGUAUCAAUAAUAUAAAGUUAUCUCAAUUUAAGUUAGGA
rnacentral:lncRNA from 1 species